UACGUAGGUGGCUAGCGUUGUCCGGAUUUACUGGGCGUAAAGAGCGCGCAGGCGGUCGUUCAAGUCGAGUGUGAAAGCCCCCCGGCUCAACUGGGGAGGGUCACUCGAUACUGAUCGACUCGAAGGCAGGAGAGGGAAGCGGAAUUCCCGGUGUAGUGGUGAAAUGCGUAGAUAUCGGGAGGAACACCUGUGGCGAAAGCGGCGCACUGGACCAUAACUGACGCUGAGGCGCGAAAGCUAGGGGAGCAAACAGG
rnacentral:rRNA from 1 species